rnacentral:lncRNA from 1 species
AUAUUUUAAUUUUUACAAUAUGUUUAAUGCUGCUAAAAGAGCGUGUAGAAAAGUUACUGGUAGGGGUGGAAGUAAAAAAAGAGGUAGUCCUAUAGCUUCUGGUAGUAAUAGUAAUGACCCAAUAACACAUGUUUCUGAAUCAUCGCCUAAUUUGCAAGAUGUAGAGAUUCAUUAUGAACAAUUACAAGAAGAUUAUGGAAUAGAAGAUAAUGAAAUUGGAAUAGAAGAUGAGAUACCACCUACACCUAGUUGUGGAAAUAUUGGUAGUAUUGGAGUU